GCGGGCUUAGCAUAGUGGUAAUGUUCUGGCUUCCCAAGCCAGCUAGACGGGUUCGAUUCCCGUAGCCCGCUCCA
rnacentral:tRNA from 1 species